AUAAGCGGAGGAAAAGAAACCAACAGGGAUUGCCCUAGUAACGGCGAGUGAAGCGGCAACAGCUCAAAUUUGAAAUCUGGCUCUCUUUGGGGGUCCGAGUUGUAAUUUGCAGAGGAUGCUUUGGCAUUGGCGGCGGUCUAAGUUCCUUGGAACAGGACAUCGCAGAGGGUGAGAAUCCCGUACGUGGGCGCCUGCCUUUGCCGUGUAAAGCUCCUUCGACGAGUCGAGUUGUUUGGGAAUGCAGCUCUAAAUGGGAGGUAAAUUUCUUCUAAAGCUAAAUACCGGCCAGAGACCGAUAGCGCACAAGUAGAGUGAUCGAAAGAUGAAAAGUACUUUGGAAAGAGAGUCAAAAAGCACGUGAAAUUGUUGAAAGGGAAGCGCUUGCAGCCAGACUUGCCCGCAGUUGCUCACCUAGGCUUUGGCCUGGGGCACUCUUCUGCGGGCAGGCCAGCAUCAGUUUGGGCGGUUGGAUAAAGGCCUCUGUCACGUAUCUUCCUUCGGGAUGACCUUAUAGGGGAGGCGUAAUGCAACCAGCCCGGACUGAGGUCCGCGCAUCUGCUAGGAUGCUGGCGUAAUGGCUGUAAGCGGCCCGUCUUGAAACACGGACCAAGGAGUCUAACAUCUAUGCGAGUGUUUGGGUGUCAAGCCCGGGCGCGCAAUGAAAGUGAACGGAGGUGGGAACCCUUUGGGUGCACCAUCGACCGAUCCUGAUGUCUUCGGAUGGAUUUGAGUAAGAGCAUAGCUGUUGGGACCCGAAAGAUGGUGAACUAUGCUUGAAUAGGGUGAAGCCAGAGGAAACUCUGGUGGAGGCUCGCAGCGGUUCUGACGUGCAAAUCGAUCGUCAAAUUUGGGCAUAGGGGCGAAAGACUAAUCGAACCAUCUAGUAGCUGGUUCCUGCCGAAGUU
rnacentral:rRNA from 1 species